rnacentral:rRNA from 1 species
GACGAACGCUGGCGGCGUGCUUAACACAUGCAAGUCGAGCGGUAAGGCCCUUUCGGGGGUACACGAGCGGCGAACGGGUGAGUAACACGUGGGUGACCUGCCCUCAGCUCUGGGAUAAGCCUGGGAAACCGGGUCUAAUACUGGAUAUGACUCCAUGACGCAUGUUGUGGGGUGGAAAGCCUUGUGCGGCUGAGGAUGGGCCCGCGGCCUAUCAGCUUGUUGGUGGGGUGAUGGCCUACCAAGGCGACGACGGGUAGCCGGCCUGAGAGGGCGACCGGCCACACUGGGACUGAGACACGGCCCAGACUCCUACGGGAGGCAGCAGUGGGGAAGUCUUGCGCAAUGGGCGAAAGCCUGACGCAGCGACGCCGCGUGAGGGAUGACGGCCU